rnacentral:lncRNA from 1 species
UGUGGUGUUGGGGUGUGUGGAAUUGGGGCUCCCUGGAACAGCAGAGGUGAAGCAGCUGCCUGCACUUCUCCUCCAUCCCUUCCUUCCUCCCUUAGUAUCAACUGUAAUGUCCCUGGCGGCACUGGGUAGGGUGAAGUAGAGAGAAGGGCUGGGGGUCCCAGUGGAGGAAGACGACUCCCAGGUCAUGAGGUAAGCUCUUUCUACAUGGCCCCUGGUAUGUAAAGGCACAGAUGGCAGGAAGGUGGCUGCCAACACCAGGGGCCGGGAACCACGAUCACAGAGUCUCUGAUAUGUGCUUAGAGAAGUGCCUGUGGUUGUCAGUGACUACACAGGCACUGUCACAGCCCUUACUGUCCCUUUUCCAAAAAUCAAACAGACAAGCAAAAUCCCACAGCAUACUGGCUCUGACCCUUGCUGGGCUGGAAAGGGCACAGCUUUAAACUAUGCUAAGCAUAUUUUUGAAAGGCUGCAUUGGCAAA